rnacentral:ribozyme from 14 species
UUUUUAAUUUUAUUUUUUAAGUUUCUUUCUUUUUUCUUUCUCUUUUUCUGCGCACUGGCAAUUUGUGAGAAAUUAUCAUUAA